rnacentral:lncRNA from 1 species
GGGGGAGGAGGGAAGGGAGGGCUUCUGGGGCUCCUCUCCCUCCCACAACACUGAGGGGGGGUGAGGUGAGGCGAGGCUGCGGCGGUACCACCCUGGGCCUCCUGGGGGAGGGGGCUGGGAGGGCAUCGGUCCGUCUGCAGACACCGAGAACCAGGGGCGGGAGCCUGUCUCGAUGUGGGCUUCUCCCUCGGACUCCGCCUGGGGACGCCUGCCCCCUGCCUCCUGCCCUGUUUGGGUUCCCUGCGCCCACCCUACCUCUGCCUCCUCAUCUCUAACCUUCCCUCCCCCUUCCCCUUGAGUAAAUGCAAUGACACAUUCUCCCAAAUGCCAGCGAACUGGCCUCAAAGCAAGUGAUGGUGUUUUUCCUGCUGCCCUUUGUCUGGGCUGACCGCCCCCCUUGCCUAUUGUCCCGCUGCUUGUCCCAUUUCCAAAAGCUGGAGCUCUGUGAGGCGCCAGAGGCUGGGGCAGGUGACUAACCAGCUCACAAUGCCCCCUGAGGGGGAGGAAGGGGGCAGGAGGGCCCACUGCCCAGCUUCUCUCUUUAGUUCACAAGGUUCUUCAUUCUUCUUCCCAGUGACCAGGGAGAGGGCACAUGGGUGGGGGAUUUGUAAUUCAUUAAUCAGCACGAGGCACCGGACCAGUUUCAACACCAGAGGCUUCGCUGGUGACUCAGCGAGAAUGCGAAGAUUCAAGGCCACGGACAGAGCGAGCAUCCCGAUUGUAAAACACUUCCCCAUUGAGACAUUUGGCACCCUCCUUCCUUUGGGGUUUUGGGUUGUUGGUUUUUCCGGUGGUGAGGUAGGUUUGGCUGGGGAGUGCUCUCCCUCCUUCCUCCCCUCCGGUCUGGGUUGGGACUUUGCUGGGCUGGAGACCUCGGGGACCCAUAAGACCAAACCCUCCCAAGAGGGUCUCUCUUCCUCCCCCUUCCUCCCUCUCCAAACUGUUGCCAGGAAGAGUGACCUUGUGCAGAGGAAACAGCUGUCAUCUGGGGCUUGUACACAGCCCCACUUUGUGAUUUGUCUUGGGGGACAGUCAUUGGGUCCUCAAGCCUUGGGUGUCCUAGAAGCAGCAUACCACCAAUUAAAUCAU